GUUCAGGACGUUGUGGGCAAUCCACUGUACGUACUGUAUGCAGAUCCCACUCGACUCAGGCGAGAUGUUUCAAGAUGAUUCUUAUUGUUGGGUCCACAGCCCAGCCCAAAGUACAAAUUGAGCGCCCCAUUCAAACGUAUCCUUUCCUAAUCGAGGAUGUGACGGGUGUAUUCAUCAGAAGCUAGAAAAACGGUUCGCGAAUCUGGAACAACUAGCUGCAUGCCUCAAACCUGUGAAUGGGUGGGAACUCUAAGUUUGAAACCGUGGAUUCCCUUGAGAGGAGAGAGACACUGGAAAAGGAAAUCAAGCGAAGCUAAUGCCAUUAAUUGUGCAUGCGUGGGUGGAGGCUACCUGGAUUUCAUGAUCUCAUCCUCGGGAAGUACCGUACGAGUCAAGUCGAGAAAGCACUUUCAUCUCCAAGGGUAAACACAUUAGCGUGCUUCUUAGCUAUGAAGGAAUUCGUAAACAGCUCAAAACUCGCAUUCCCGGAGCAUACGACAGACAUAGGUACUGUACGACAUGCUGUACGUACAGUCGGUGGCCGUUGUCAAGGCUCAAAUCCGAAAUCCGAACCUCUGGCCAGCUCAUUCUUCGAGAUGUACGAGGCGUUUUGUUUCCAUCUCCAUCUCUUUGAAGUCUCAAGACAACAACAACAACAACAACAACACCGAACUGGAGAAAUGAAAAAAGACCUCUCUCUACCUAUGUUCGAGUACAUCCGCCCGGAAAAGCAACUCGUUUGUACGUUUAUUAGAUAGCUAACAAGCUGUUCUAAGAUAUGUGAGGUUUGAACAGAGCAGUUUUCAUUGUCUUCAUGUUGAAAGGAACAUGGAUAGCUACAAAUUAUGCAACCUUUCUUUGAAAGCAACAUACUGUCGACCUUCUCCAUCGGAAUGGAGCCGCUCUUAAAUUUAAUGCUCAAAUUUAUGUAAACAGCUGCCAGGACCCGGACCGACGGAGGAAAACAGAGAGCAUUCCUGACGGGCGUGUCCAGAUUUGUCACGGUUUCACAAAACAUGAAAUAUGGGGACACACUUUCUUUCUUUAACGGGUCAAUUUGCUUCUGCUUCUUCGCGGUCUUCGUGAGUGAAAAAGGGGCCUUGGAGAUCUCUCGCAAUGAUCGGUGAGCGUUCGUUCCCAAUGGAACAGACGAGGGCGCAAAGUGCGCACAACAUCGCUUCUUCGUUUGAUGCGUCCUGCUGUCCUGGAUAAUAUUUGGUGGACAAGUAUUGAAGUGCGCACUUUUCCCAGUCCAAUCCAAUGCCCACCCAUCAUCAUCAUCAACACCAUAACACCCAUUUUCUGAUCACCGCCUUGGGUCAUUAGUUGUGGGGAAAGGAAUUUGGCUGCUACUACCGUUGUAGCUCGAAAGAAGACUUCUCACUCAUCGAGGCUGACUCUAACCUCAGCCGCAUUUACAUUGGCUUAUUGAAGCCGGAAUCUACCCUGCCGUCAUAUAUGGAGGCAAAAUGAGAGGGAAAAAAUGUAAUUUGAGACGAAAUUUCGAUGGAGGAGGGGGCAUCAAAAAAAUGUACCCCAAGAGAUGGAUUGCCAUGCAAAAUGCGAUGGGUAGUGGUGGGUGUCGUUGACGCUGAUCACUAAUUAUUAGGUUAAUCAAGUGUUCUGGCAUAUUAUGUCUAAAGGACUAAUGAAACGACGGAAUUGUACACCUGAUAAUAGGAAAAGACUUUCACCUUCACCCCACAAAAGCACGAAAAGUUCAAUAAAACUAAACCUAACAAACGUUUGCCAUCAAGUUAAUCAAACCAAGGCUGAAAUGGUAACAGAUCUUGGCAAUAAACAAUUUACAUUUGACGAAUGAAUUAGUUUUAAAGUUAACGUUUUCACUGGCCAAAAAAAUGACGGAAAUCAUCUAAAACGCUGUCAACAAGUUCAUAAACCGUUGACGAAGAAGUUCAUGGGGGUGAUUAACGAUUUACGUUUAACCAUUGGUGCCCAACUUUGCAUUGGUCAGGGGUUCCUCAUAUGCCGCACAUGCAAAGGCCAAAAUGCUGAAUAAAACAACUGAUUGAUGAUGAAUCUGAAGAUGUGGACUUUACGAAAUCCAAUUCAAACGGACCAUCAACUUUGGAAUCUACCAUUUAUCCGUAAUUUUUGGGUAAAUUGAUAUUUUGAGUUAGUUAACCGUUACCAAGAAAGCAAACCCCACUUAGAAAAGCGUUUCAAUUUUUAAGGUCUUAAUUAGGAUUGAAUGGAUUUUGAGCAAGUUUACCAAUAUUUUUUUUAAAAAAAGAGGAGCCAACAUUUCUUUUGAUCAAUCCAAGCAUCCAUUUCAAAUGAAAUUGGACAAAAAUCUCCCGAAAAUGACCUUGUGCAGUCAAUGUUUAUUGGGACACGAUUCAACAAUUUCUUUUGUAAGGGCUAGCCAAGUCUACCAACUCGUUGGUAGACCAAAUAUCUCAUAAAGAUCAACAAUUAAAGACGGAAAAAAUAUAUAAUUUUUCAUUUUCAUAGCAUCGGGGGUUACGUUCCCUGUAGUAGUUAGAAAAGCCAGUAAAAAGCCAAGCGAAGAAAAAUGCAAAACCCGAUCAACAUUUUAGUGGAGGACUAGCCGGAUACACCCAUCCUAAUUCACAUAUUACAAAAAAUGCAAAAUACACUACUACUAAUCAUUAACACUUCUUAGUCAUGAUUGGGAUCAUUUUGACAUUGACUAGAUGAAACAUAAGAAUCAAAGGUUGUAUGCAGUGAGAUCAAUCUCGCCACAAAGUUCCCCAAUGUAAGUCCAG